rnacentral:misc_RNA from 1 species
AACUUUCAACAACGGAUCACUUGGCUCUCGCAUCGAUGAAGAACGCAGCGAAAUGCGAUAAGUAAUGUGAAUUGCAGAAUUCAGUGAAUCAUCGACUCUUUGAACGCAUCUUGCGCUUCUUGGUAUUCCAAGGAGCAUGCCUGUUUGAGUGUCAUUUGAGUUCUCAACCACACCCUUUGUGGUGUGGCUUUUGGAUAUGGGGGUUCUCUUUGCAGGCUUUGUGAAAACAAGGUCGGCUCCCCUGAAAUGUAUUAGUGGUAUCUGUGUGGACUACAGGUGUGAUAAAUCAAUCUAUGCCUUGUCUCUCACUAUGGCACUGCUUCUAAAGAGUUGGAAACAACGAUUGACAAAUUUGACCUCAAAUCAGGUAGGACUACCCGCUGAACUUAAGCAUAUCAAUAAGCGGAGGCU